GACGAACGCUGGCGGCGCGCUUAACACAUGCAAGUCGAACGGAAAGGCCUGCUUUCCCUUGUGGAUUGCGGGUACUCGAGUGGCGAACGGGUGAGUAGCACGUGAGUGAUCUGCCCCCAACUUGGGUAUAAGCCUGGGAAACUGGGUCUAAUUCCCGAUAGGACUGCAGGGUGGUGCCUGUGGUGGAAAACGAUUUUCUAGUGGUUGGGGAUGAGCUCGCGGCCUAUCAGCUUGUUGGUGGGGUAAUGGCCUACCACGGCGGCGACGGGUAGCCGGCCUGAGAGGGUGGACGGCCACAGUGGGACUGAGAUACGGCCCAGACUCCUACGGGAGGCAGCAGUGGGGAAUAUUGCACAAUGGGCGGAAGCCUGAUGCAGCGACGCCGCGUGGGGGAUGACGGCCUUCGGGUUGUAAACUCCUUUCGACCGCGAGGAAGCCACCUGGUUGGAAGGGUGGUGACGGUAGUGGUAGAAGAAGCACCGGCUAACUACGUG
rnacentral:rRNA from 1 species